UACGUAGGGUGCAAGCGUUGUCCGGAAUUAUUGGGCGUAAAGAGCUUGUAGGCGGUUUGUCGCGUCUGCUGUGAAAUUUCGGGGCUCAACCCCGAACUUGCAGUGGGUACGGGCAGACUAGAGUGUGGUAGGGAGACUGGAAUUCCUGGUGUAGCGGUGAAAUGCGCAGAUAUCAGGGGGAACACCGGUGGCGAAGGCGGGUCUCUGGGCAGUAACUGACGCUGAGGAGCGAAAGCGUGGGGAGCGAACAGG
rnacentral:rRNA from 1 species